GAUGAACGCUGGCGGCGUGCCUAAUACAUGCAAGUCGAGCGAACGGACGAGAAGCUUGCUUCUCUGAUGAUAGCGGCGGACGGGUGAGUAACACGUGGAUAACCUACCUAUAAGACUGGGAUAACUUCGGGAAACCGGAGCUAAUACCGGAUAAUAUUUUGAACCGCAUGGUUCAAAAGUGAAAGACGGUCUUGCUGUCACUUAUAGAUGGAUCCGCGCUGCAUUAGCUAGUUGGUAAGGUAACGGCUUACCAAGGCAACGAUGCAUAGCCGACCUGAGAGGGUGAUCUGCCACACUGGAACUGAGACCCGGUCCAGACUCCUACGGGAGGCAGCAGUAGGGAAUCUUCCGCAAUGGGCGAAAGCCUGACGGAGCAACGCCGCGUGAGUGAUGAAGGUCUUCGGAUCGUAAAACUCUGUUAUUAGGGAAGAACAUAUGUGUAAGUAACUGUGCACAUCUUAACGGUACCUAAUCAGAAAGCCACGGCUAACUACGU
rnacentral:rRNA from 1 species